rnacentral:rRNA from 1 species
UACGUAGGGUGCGAGCGUUAAUCGGAAUUACUGGGCGUAAAGCGUGCGCAGGCGGUUUUGUAAGCCAGAUGUGAAAUCCCCGGGCUUAACCUGGGAAUGGCAUUUGGGACUGCAAGGCUGGAGUGUGGCAGAGGAGACUGGAAUUCCUGGUGUAGCAGUGAAAUGCGUAGAUAUCAGGAGGAAUACCGAUGGCGAAGGCAGGUCUCUGGGCUGACACUGACGCCCAUGCACGAAAGCGUGGGGAGCAAACAGG